UGUUCCUGUUUCUGGAAGGACUUCUACUGGACAUCUACCAGAAGAAAGAAACGCAGCAGCACAUUUUGAUUGAAUGACAAACCCACAUUACACACUUCUGUUGGACACAC